UUCCGGUUGAUCCUGCCGGAGGUCACUGCUAUCGGGGUUCGAUUAAGCCAUGCGAGUCGAGAGGGUUCGGCCCUCGGCGUACUGCUCAGUAACACGUGGAUAACCUGCCCUAGGGAAGGGGAUAAUCCCGGGAAACUGGGGAUAAUACCCUAUAGGUUACAGAUGCUGGAAUGCUCUGUAAUCAAAAGUUCCGGCGCCCUAUGAUGGAUCUGCGGCCGAUUAGGUUGUUGUUGGGGUAAUGGCCCAACAAGCCAGUAAUCGGUACGGGUUGUGGGAGCAAGAGCCCGGAGUUGGAUUCUGAGACACGAAUCCAGGCCCUACGGGGCGCAGCAGGCGCGGAAACUUUACAAUGCGGGCAACCGUGAUAAGGGAACCUCGAGUGCCUGUAAAUGCAGGCUGUUCAGAUGCCUAAAACACAUCUGGAGAAAGGGCCGGGCAAGACCGGUGCCAGCCGCCGCGGUAAUACCGGCGGCUCGAGUGGUGGCCACUUUUAUUGGGCUUAAAG
rnacentral:rRNA from 1 species